rnacentral:rRNA from 1 species
UACAGAGGUCUCAAGCGUUGUUCGGAUUCAUUGGGCGUAAAGGGUGCGUAGGCGGCGCGGUAAGUCGGGUGUGAAAUCUUGGAGCUUAACUCCGAAACUGCAUUCGAUACUGCCGUGCUUGAGGACUGGAGAGGAGACUGGAAUUUACGGUGUAGCGGUGAAAUGCGUAGAGAUCGUAAGGAAGACCAGUGGCGAAGGCGGGUCUCUGGACAGUUCCUGACGCUGAGGCACGAAGGGUCAGGGGAGCAAACGGG